AAAAAUGCACAUACUGUGAGCUCGAUGAGUAGGGCGGGACACGUGGUAUCCUGUCUGAAUAUGGGGGGACCAUCCUCCAAGGCUAAAUACUCCUGACUGACCGAUAGUGAACCAGUACCGUGAGGGAAAGGCGAAAAGAACCCCGGCGAGGGGAGUGAAAAAGAACCUGAAACCGUGUACGUACAAGCAGUGGGAGCCUCUUAAUGGGGUGACUGCGUACCUUUUGUAUAAUGGGUCAGCGACUUAUAUUCUGUAGCAAGGUUAACCGAAUAGGGGAGCCGAAGGGAAACCGAGUCUUAACUGGGCGUUAAGUUGCAGGGUAUAGACCCGAAACCCGGUGAUCUAGCCAUGGGCAGGUUGAAGGUUGGGUAACACUAACUGGAGGACCGAACCGACUAAUGUUGAAAAAUUAGCGGAUGACUUGUGGCUGGGGGUGAAAGGCCAAUCAAACCGGGAGAUAGCUGGUUCUCCCCGAA
rnacentral:rRNA from 1 species